rnacentral:rRNA from 1 species
CCUACGGGUGGCAGCAGUGGGGAAUAUUGGACAAUGGGCGAAAGCCUGAUCCAGCCAUGCCGCGUGUGUGAAGAAGGCCUUCGGGUUGUAAAGCACUUUCAGUGGGGAAGAAAGCCUUGGGGCUAAUACCCUCGAGGAAGGACAUCACCCACAGAAGAAGCACCGGCUAACUCCGUGCCAGCAGCCGCGGUAAUACGGAGGGUGCGAGCGUUAAUCGGAAUUACUGGGCGUAAAGCGCGCGUAGGCGGUCUGAUAAGCCGGUUGUGAAAGCCCCGGGCUCAACCUGGGAACGGCAUCCGGAACUGUCAGGCUAGAGUGCAGGAGAGGAAGGUAGAAUUCCCGGUGUAGCGGUGAAAUGCGUAGAGAUCGGGAGGAAUACCAGUGGCGAAGGCGGGCUUCUGGACUGACACUGACGCUGAGGUGCGAAAGCGUGGGUAGCAAACAGGAUUAGAUACCCCGGUAGUC